UUCUUUCAUUCCCCUCUGUCUAUUCGUAUAUGUAUAUUUAGUAUUUCACUAAUCAUACUUCAAAGCCCUGCCCAUUUUAAGUGUUUUAACCUUUGAUCACUGAUACCCUGUCCGACUGACGUAGGGCCCCGUAACGUAUGACAAGGCUCUGCCUAAAUUAGUUGGGGUUCUGUCUCGUGACGUAGGGAUAAAGAGGAAUUAGGUUACUAUACUUAAUGUGAGUGCACUAUAUAUUUUAUUAAAUAACCCAGGAGUGAUACCCAAAAUAUAACAACCCUCCUAAAAGACCCUUGACACCCCUACACUUCCUAAAAUAUACCCCAUAUGCGAUAAACGAACCCGUAUACCUUUUAUAUUAAUAAAAAUCAAAUAAAAUAAAAAUUAUGGAUCUCUCGCGGGGCGCGUAAGCCACCCCCUUGGACUUACGCGGGCCGCGACAACAAGGAGGCCAGACCGCACCAGAGCACGCCACGUGUCCGACGCGUGUGGGGUCUAGGGCUGACUCAGCAACCCUAUACAAGGACACGUAGUCCCUGGCGGGCCGCGUAGACCCAAGCCAAACCUUACGCGGGCUGCGUAGAACUCGAUUUCAGGCCCUAUAAAGUGGGAGCUCGGGCUUCAGUCUCAAUUCGCUCACAUCUUUCUCUCUCACUCGAAUUUCUGAAUAGUAGAAGUGAUACUCGGGUAUAAUACCCCCCUAAUUAGCGAAACUCUACCUCGUUGUAAGUAUCAUAACCACUGGAGACGUAUUAGAUACUCUGCCCGAUUGAUCUAGGGUUCCGUAACGGCUGUCAUGGUUCUACCCGACGUAGUCGUUGGAAUGUCGUCUCGGGGAUGGGAACCACAAAGGAAAGCGCUAUAAUAGCAAUGCGAGUGAUCCUUCUUUUUGUGUAAAUCUUUUUGUGAGUAAUCCUCUUUUUGUUAACUGUUUUACAAAACCUUAAAUAUCUUUCCAUGGGAAUAGCAGUUAUUGAGUAUUUGUAAGAAUACAAUUACAGUCGGUAAAUUUGGGGUUUUGUAUACAAAAUUUGUUACCACCUGGUAAAGGAGUAACAUGACCAUAAGUCGGAACGACAUUACCGUGUGGUGGUAAUUGAUAUAACUUGGAAACAAAUGUAAUUGCGGAUGCGCCCUCAAUACUGUUCACUGUGACUUUUUAUUUAAACUUGAUUAAACUGGGAUUCACUCACCAGUAUUUCCUGCUGAUAAAAUGUUUUUAAACACGUGUUUCAGGUAACUUAGUGUGAAGCCAAUAAAAGCCAGCUGGAGAGCACUGAAGGCUUGGAAAAGUGGCUAUAAAGUUACCUAAAAUAAAAUAGAUGUUUUUAUUAAACAAAAUAGGAUUUAUUCCUAUGAAAAUGUGUGUACCACAAACUUGGGUUUUACCCAUGUAUUUAAUGUUAUAAAAUAUGGUGGUUUACU
rnacentral:lncRNA from 1 species